GGAAGCAGAGACAGGUCGGUGGGGCGAGGCCUCAGAACACCCAGCAGGCUUGGCCCCACGUCUCAGGAGAGGAGAGACUGCCUGCCCGGGUUGGGGAGGGCGCCUCUGUCCUCUAGGAGCCCAAGGCCCCGGGAGCUUCCCAGUGCUCACUUGGGCUGCAGCCUGCAGUGUGUGGGUUUCACUUCCUGCCCUGCCCAGGGUUAGGGCUGCUUCUGCCAGCCAGGCCAUCUCCCUGCCAGCCCUGGGUCUCCACAGCCUGUUUCCUGCCAUCUUUUCGCUCUGUUGUAUGGCCUCCCUCCCGCCAGGUGUCUGCUGUGAGACAGACCCACGGGGCCUGGCAGACGGGUUGCCCAGGCAGCGGAAGGGUCUCUGGGCCUCGGUUUCCCCACUGGUGGAACAGAGGCCUUUUCGUGCACCAUGCAGUGGUUGGGUCUGCUGAGGGCUCUGGGGCAAUGGCUGGCCCUUUGGGAGGGUGGAGUUCGUCUUGAACAGCGGCUGCCCAAGGAGCUUUCUCCGGUGACAAGAGUACACUGUGCUCGGGCACACAGGCCUUCCCAUGCAACCAAGGCCCUGCCGUGUCACUGGGAUUCACGGUAGAUCUACGUAGCCGCCUGUGGCUCGUGGCUGCCACGCGGGGCCUGCCAGGUCCGGGGUCUAUCCCCGUCGGCCCGCCAAGGUCCCUCUCACCAGCAUCCUGUUUUUACUGCACACAUAGUUUGCAGCUGCCCUGAGGGCCGCCUUUAGAGAGAGCAGUCCCUCCUGCUGAGGCCACGCACCCUGAGCACUGUCUGUCCCCACGUGGCUGCUCUGAGCUCAGCUCUGCUCCAUAGAUGGGGAGAGAAGGGCAGGAGGGACCUGGCACCACCUGGCCGCUCCAGCAUCAUGGGAGUGGUGGCCACGGUGGGGAGGCGGGAGCCCCGCUGGGAGGGCGCUGGGCUAGCUGAACUGCACGGCUUUCACCAGCCAGUGCCUGUUGUUUUCUAGGUUGUGAAGGUUGGAAUUGUGGAGCCAUCCUCGGCCACAUCAGGCCACUGGGGACUCCCGCCCUGCCCACCCCCAGGGGCUGCCUGGCCUUCUGGCCACAUCCUGGUCCGGAGGGCCUGGUGGCACCCGGGCAGAGCAGCAGGUGGGCUCAGCCUGCCCUGUGACUCCUCCCCAAAGGCGACUCGGACGACGCGGCCCCCUCGGGCUCUGGCACGCUCUCCUCCACCCCGCCGUCCACAUCUCCUGCGGCCAAGGAGGCCUCACCCACCCCACCCUCCUCCCCGUCGGUGAGCGGAGGCCUGUCCUCCCCCAGCCAGGGUGUCGGCGCCGAGCUGAUGGGGCUGCAGGUGGACUACUGGACGGCAGCACAGCCUGCGGACAGGAAGAGGGACGCCGAGAAGAAGGACCUGCCUGUCACCAAAAACACGCUCAAGUGCACUUUCCGGUCCCUCCAGGUCAGCAGGCUGCCCAGCAGCGGCGAGGCUGCAGCCACGCCCACCAUGUCCAUGACCGUGGUCACCAAGGAGAAGAACAAGAAGGUGAUGUUUCUGCCCAAGAAAGCGAAGGACAAGGACGUGGAGUCUAAGAGCCAGUGCAUUGAGGGCAUCAGCCGGCUCAUCUGCACUGCCAGGCAGCAGCAGAACAUGCUGCGGG
rnacentral:sRNA from 1 species